rnacentral:rRNA from 1 species
GAUGAACGCUGGCGGCAGGCCUAAUACAUGCAAGUCGGACGGGAUCCAUUGAUAGCUUGCUAUCAAUGGUGAGAGUGGCGCACGGGUGCGUAACGCGUGAGCAACCUGCCUCCAUCAGGGGGAUAGCCUCUCGAAAGAGAGAUUAACACCGCAUAAUAUCAACAGUUCGCAUGUUCAGUUGAUUAAAUAUUUAUAGGAUGGAGAUGGGCUCGCGUGACAUUAGCUAGUUGGUAGGGUAACGGCUUACCAAGGCGACGAUGUCUAGGGGCUCUGAGAGGAGAAUCCCCCACACUGGUACUGAGACACGGACCAGACUCCUACGGGAGGCAGCAGUAAGGAAUAUUGGUCAAGGGGCGGAAGCCUGAACCAGCCAUGCCGCGUGCAGGAGGACUGCCCUAUGGGUUGUAAACUGCUUUUGGCCAGGAAUAAACCUAAAUACGAGUAUUUAGCUGAAUGUACUGGAAGAAUAAGGAUCGGCUAACUCCGUG